GGGAGGGGAAAGAAGGCGGAUUCCACAAUGACUCCUGUUUCUGAUUAGGCACCAAAUGGAAGGCAGUUUCCCCAGUUACUUCCCCCUUUCUGCACGGACUUAGGACUGCAUCCUUGAGGACACAUAUAAAAGAUGGAGGGCAAAACAAGGAAGAAUAUGGAGAACAUCCUCCCGAGACUAC